rnacentral:rRNA from 1 species
AACGAACGCUGGCGGCAUGCCUAACACAUGCAAGUCGAACGAGACCUUCGGGUCUAGUGGCGCACGGGUGCGUAACGCGUGGGAACCUGCCCUUAGGUUCGGAAUAACUCCCCGAAAGGGGUGCUAAUACCGGAUAAUGUCUUCGGACCAAAGAUUUAUCGCCUUUGGAUGGGCCCGCGUUGGAUGAGCUAGUUGGUAGGGUAAGAGCCUACCAAGGCGACGAUACAUAGCUGGUCUGAGAGGAUGAUCAGCCACACUGGGACUGAGACACGGCCCAGACUCCUACGCGAGGCAGCAGUGGGGAAUAUUGGACAAUGGGCGAAGGCCUGAUCCAGCAAUGCCGCGUGAGUGAUGAAGGCCUUAGGGUUGUAAAGCUCUUUUACCCGGGAUGAUAAUGACAGUACCGGGAGAAUAAGCUCCGGCUAACUCCGUG